GAUGAACGCUAGCGGGAGGCUUAACACAUGCAAGUCGAGCGGGAUCCCCGAGCAAUCGGGGUGAGAGCGGCGGACGGGUGCGUAACGCGUAUGCAACCUGCCUUAUGCAGGGGGAUAGCCCAUGGAAACGUGGAUUAAUACCCCAUAGUAUUGUUAAAUCGCAUGGUUUGACAAUUAAAAUUUCGAUGGCAUAAGAUGGGCAUGCGUAGGAUUAGCUAGUUGGUGAGGUAACGGCUCACCAAGGCAACGAUCCUUAGGGGUUCUGAGAGGAUUACCCCCCACACUGGGACUGAGACACGGCCCAGACUCCUACGGGAGGCAGCAGUGAGGAAUAUUGGUCAAUGGCCGGAAGGCUGAACCAGCCAUCCCGCGUGCAGGAUGACGGCCCUACGGGUUGUAAACUGCUUUUCUACUCCAAGAAACCUGGCUACGUGUAGCCAGUUGCCGGUAGAGUAGGAAUAAGCAUCGGCUAACUCCGUGCCAGCAGCCGCGGUAAUACGGAGGAUGCAAGCGUUAUCCGGAUUCAUUGGGUUUAAAGGGUGCGCAGGUGGGUUUGUAAGUCAGUGGUGAAAUGCUGCCGCUUAACGGUAGAAUUGCCAUUGAUACUG
rnacentral:rRNA from 1 species